rnacentral:rRNA from 1 species
AUAGCCUAACGGCUGAACCAGCAACUUGGAGGAAUGUAUAGCGAAAGCUAGUUGCAUUUAACUUAGCGAAAGCUAAGUUGAUGCAGGAUUGACUAUGUCAAAUAAAGUUCUAGGUGGGUUAUGAUGAUGACAUUUUCUAUCUAUGUGUCUUGACCAAAUUACGUGCCAGCAGUCGCGGUAACACGUAAAAGACUAGUGUUAUUCAUCUUUAAUAGGUUUAAAGGGUACCUAGACGGUAAAUCAAGUCCAAGAAGGGUACUAAUUUUACUAGAGUUUAAUAUGAGGGGGCACUAAAGUACUGAUAAGUGUAGAGAUGAAAUUCUGUGAUACAAUAUACGGCACUGGUAAAGGCGAAAGCAUCUCAUUAUGUAAUAACUGACGUUGAGGGACGAAGGCUAGGUGUAGCAAAAAGGAUUAGAUACCCAAGUAGUCUUAGCAGAAAAUUAUGAAUGUCAUAGGAUGGAAAGUUGGAUGGACAAACAACAAAUUUUUUUUCUAUAAAUGAAAGUGUAAGCAUUCCACCUCGAGAGUAAUUUGGCAACAUUGGAACUGAAAUCAUUAGACCGUUUCUGAAACAAGUAGUGAAGUAUGUUGUUUAAUUUGAUGGUCCGCAAAAAACCUUACCACAAUUUGAAUAGAAAAAUUUUUUUUCAUACAAGCGCUGCACGGUUGUCUUCAGUUAAUGUCGUGAGAUCUUGGUUAGUUCCAUUAAAUUAACGUAA